rnacentral:lncRNA from 11 species
AGGGGGUCUCUCCAUGUGUGCUGCAUUGCUAAGGACGCUCCUUCUAAGAAGACAGAUGAUUAUGCCAGGUUUUCUACCACCUUCCCCAUUGUUGGUAUUAUAGUAUUUGAUAAGUCUGCUGCUUCUUUGAUCUACAUCUGUCAGGCGAAAUCUCCCCUACUGGCACAGAUCAUGAAACUGGGGAGAGCGAUGACAGCAAAGCAAGCUGAGCAGUGACUCUUCAAGCUAAUAUGACUAAAUGGAUUGACGAACAGGUGUGAUCAGUUAAUUCACUACAUAGGUGGUUAUGUUGUGGAUUUUUAAUUGGAUUUUAACCAGGAGCUGUCUCUUAGGAAAGCAUGGGGCUUUGUAAUUGUUUAAAGCUGGAAAAUCAGCAUCUUGAAUUGUGACAAGGCAGCUGCAGGAAGCCAGUGCGGAAUAAGUGCUGCAAUCCAUCCCUGCUUCUAUCCACAUAUAUUUUUCCAUGUUUUGCGUUCUUUACCACCUCCGAGCCAGUAAAAGACACAUUUCUGCCUGCUGUGGUCUUGUGUAAGAAAAAAGAUUGUUUCUUCAAUUCCUGUACUGUCUCUAUCUUUUAAAGAAGAAAUGAUUGCUUAGUCAAGAAACCCAACUAUAUAUGUUGAUGCUCAACUAUAUGUUGAUGCUCAACUUCAGCAGCAGCUCUCAUCAAUUUAAGACAGUGCUGGAUUUAUGCCCAAGUGCGAAAACUGGCUGCUGCCCGUUGGACUAUCUGAAGCUUCAGAACAGACUUCAAAGGCUGCCCCUAGGUCUGAGAUGUGAUGGGAGCAUGGACCACCUUGGCCAAGUCUGGCAUCUUAAGGUACAGACACAGCUGAUGCACAAGUUUUAAUUGUGUGGAAGUUCCCCUGAUCACCACCGAAACCUGGGGUUCUAGGCUCAGCGAUAAAUCCAGGAGAACUCCCAAGCUGCAAACUUGAGUCUUCAAGGGGAGUGUAACCCUGUCCAACACGGGCUGUAACCUCAUACCCUGUUCGGUCAUGCGACUGACCAGGAGUACCUCUGUCUUGUCUGGAUUCAAUUUCAAUUUGUUCACUGUCAUCCAGAUCGUCACAGCUGCCAAGCACCGAUUCAGGACCUGAACAGCCUCCUUAGCAAUAGGUGGAAAGGAGUGAUAGAGUUGGACGUCAACUGCUCAAAGAUGACAUCGAAUUCCAAAACUCCGGAUGAUCUCUCCCAGAGGCGUCAUGUAGAUGUUAACAUGGGAAAUAAUACCAUCAUAUUCUGAAAAAGUAGUAAAAUAAUCCAAUGCCCAGGAGUUGCCAACUGCACAGAUCAUGGUGCACUAGUUUCAGUUUUGGACUAGACUACAGCAGAUUUAGGUCAAAUCCUUAUUCAGCCAUGGAAAUCCGCUUGGUGACCUUGUGCAAGUUUCACACUCUCUCAGUGGAAAGCAAUGUCAACUAGUACAUCUUGCCAAGAAACCCUAGGAGAGUUUAGCUAUGACUCAGACUUGAAGGAACAUAACAUCAAAACAACAGUAUUAUAUGCCUGAAGAGCUUUCUUUAAAGUGCAGGGAGCUGGUCAGAUCUUUUACAUUUGAUAUAACUUAGGACAGGGGUGGGCAGUAGGGCUGCCAGGGUGAAAACUGGAGAGGGCUUUUGUAUCUUCAAUGGGUAAGUGAAAGAUGGUGAUUUCAGCAGGUGUUGCAUGUCAAGCAUGUCCUCAUGAAAUUCCUGCUUCUAAAUAAUAAAAGUACAGGAGCUGGAUCCCAUUUUCAAUCUGGGAAGCCUGGUUGACUCACUAACAUGUUUAGGGUAGUGCAGGAGGCUUUGGGGACUGGUAGAGAUCCAAGGGCCACACUGGACUCUAAAGCGCUAUACAUGGCAUCCUGGCCCCACACCCUCAAGCCUUAUUUUGGAGUCCCAAUGUCUUAAUCUAGCUCAGGAACAAUGCUGCAGUUUUCGUAGUCAGAGUUUCCAGGAUGUUUUUCUCACAUGCGCAAGAAAUUUUGCUGCCUACCUAAGGCAAAGGACAAGACGUGCAAAGAAAAACAUGGGCAAAGGCAAUUGGCCAGGAUAUGUGGCACACAUUUAUCUCAUCCAGCACCUUGGAAAUUGCCUCGCAUUUCUUAAAGUUAGGGCAAGUCCAGCACUGUAUGUAUAGCACUGGACUAUGUAGGGGUUGUGGUGAGAGCAGAACCUACAUGUCUUAGUCUAGCAGUGAUCAAUUGUGCAAAUCUAAUAUUGUGUGUCUAUUUUCUUCAUCUGCAGCCUUCUUCAAAGUAGGAGGGACUGGCUGUGUGUUAUGUAGAAAAUGCUACAGAAGUACAAGUCAUUCUGCAUGCUGCUGCAGUUAUGCAGAUACAAUAAUGGAAUGAGAUAAGUACAUGUGCAUUUAUGCAUUAAAAGCAAUCAUAACAACUAGAACAUCUUACGGAUUAAUUUAUUGUGUGCAUAAACUUUCAUAGAUUGGAACUGAUUUCAUCAUGUCCCAUGAAAGCUUUCCCAACUUACUGCACUUACUUGUGAGUAAGAGCCAUUAAUGUCAGUGGGCCCACCUUCGCAGUAUUUAUGAUUAUAUUCUGUCUCGGUUUGUAUUUAAAGUGCUGUAGGAGUCAGUUUUUACUACAGUAGAUGAACACAGAUAUCUUUCUAUUUGUAAAUCGUGUUACAGAAAUUAUUCCAAAGCAUCUUAAAAUGAGUAUGAAUGACCACAAGACUAAGAACUCAGCAGGCUGAUUCUGGAGUGAUUAGACUGCAGUAUUGAAUUAAUGCAGUUUAAUGCUAUGGAAUCCUAGGAUUUGUAGUUUGGUGAGCCA